AGUGAACGCUGGCGGUAGGCCUAACACAUGCAAGUCGAACGGCAGCACAGUAAGAGCUUGCUCUUACGGGUGGCGAGUGGCGGACGGGUGAGGAAUACAUCGGAAUCUACUUUUUCGUGGGGGAUAACGUAGGGAAACUUACGCUAAUACCGCAUACGACCUACGGGUGAAAGCAGGGGAUCUUCGGACCUUGCGCGAUUGAAUGAGCCGAUGUCGGAUUAGCUAGUUGGCGGGGUAAAGGCCCACCAAGGCGAGGAUCCGUAGCUGGUCUGGGAGGAUGGUCGGCCACCCUGGAGCUGAGACACGGUCCAGACGCCUACGGGAGGCCGCAGUGGGGAAUAUUGGACAAUGGGCGCGAGCCUGAUCCAGCCAUACCGCGUGGGUGAAGACGGCCUUCGGGUUGUAAAGCCCUUUUGUUGGGAAAGAACAGCAGCAGGUUAAUACCCAGCUGUUCUGACGGUACCCAAAGAAUAAGCACCGGCUAACUUCGUG
rnacentral:rRNA from 1 species